rnacentral:tRNA from 1 species
CAAGUCCACCGUGGGCUUUGAAAAACGCUUUCCUUGAUAAAAUUUAAGCGUUUUAUAAGAGGAUGCCGGGGAAGGUUUUCCGGUUUAUCCCGGAGGGCUUGUAGCUCAGUUGGUUAGAGCGCGCGCUUGAUAAGCGUGAGGUCGGAGGUUCAAGUCCUCCCAGGCCCACCAGUUUAUCCAUUACUUUCAUAAGUGCUUUUAAAAAAUAAGUACUUCUAAAAAGAUUGCUUCUAAAAAGCUUAUCAAAAUUGGCAGGCUUAUUGCUUUUGUGUGAGUAAUCCAAAGUUAAAGCAAAUUAAUGGCAAAAAAACAGUUCAAAUGCUAAAUACUAAGGAGUCAAAAUUCCUUGCAAAGUGAUUUUUACAGCGUCCAUUUGGUUGAUAUAAAUUCCAAAUGCUCAUAGACGUCAAUGCCUAUAUGAAACUAUCGGUUCAAUCAUAUCGCUUUGAGUUAUAUAGAUUUUGUAAUCCCUCUUUUGAUCGUUUUAAACGCUUUAUCCUGAUUUAGGGGCCGUAGCUCAGCUGGGAGAGCACCUGCUUUGCAAGCAGGGGGUCGUCGGUUCGAUCCCGUCCGGCUCCACCAUAAGGUCAUCAUCAUUGUUGUAAGAACAGUUUUGUAAAAGGUUUGCGAACCUUUUGCUUGUUCUAUUGAAAUUGUGAAGAGAAGAUAUAUUCAGACAUGUUCCUUUUGAAAGGUUUGUUCUGGAAGGUGAGGUUUUUCUGUGCAGAAAUGUUUCAGAAAAAGCUUUGUCAUCAGAAAGGGCUAUUGUCUAACAGCUUAGAUAAAAAACAAAUCUGAAAAAGAAAUCUUGUGUCGCAAGGGAAAGCUCAAAGCCCUUGCUUAUGAU